UUCUGCCCAGCAGACGCCGUGGUCUGCCAAUCCUCUUCGCGCUUCGUGUCCCCCGCCCGCAACUCGCGGAUAGAUUCCGCCCGUCUCCAUCGUUCCCCACCCCUCCCUCCUGGCCUCCUCUCUCCUCCUCGCCGCCGCUACAGGAGGCCGCCGGGCGAAGCUCGACUUGCGUCGGCGGCGCCGGGUUCGCUCUCCCUCGAGCGGCGUCAGCGACGCGGGAUGCGGCAGGCUCGGCCUGCGUCGGCGGCGCCGGUGUCCCUCUCCUCCGUCGAGCGGUGGCGGCGUGAGGCGCAUCAGGAUCGACCUGCGUCGGCGGCGGCGGCGGCGGGAUCACUCUCCUCCGUCGAGUAGCGGCGGCAGUGCGGGACGCAGCGGGCGGCGCAUCGCGGUAACCUAGCUCCUUCCCGUACAACCAUUCCGUCCCCGUGCUCUAUUCUGCCCGACCCGACUAGGAUUCUGCCCGUCCCCGUGCUCUAUCCGCGCCUCACAUCCCCCAGCCUCCUCUCCAUGUGGCCCUGCGAUGCUGCCGCCUCGCUGUCCCCAUCGCUCCCCGUGCCGGUUGCAGCCUCCCCAACCCUCCUCUCCAUUCACCAGCUUCGCACGGUCUCCACGGCUGCUACAACAAUGUUCAUAUCCUAGAUUGACGCCGCAUGGGUAGCAGCUGGACCCCGUCAUCAACCAGAACCAGGUAAUACAAAUCCGCCUAUGCGUCUUCUAUUCUUAAUCAUUGUUUCUAUACAGGUGGAGAGACAGCCCUGCUCGAGUUGAUGUUGCUUUAUGUGGUUACGAAUUACGAUCAUAGAGUUGUCAUCCUCGGUACCUUGGUCAUCCUCACAUGUCAACCCGCCAUCUAAAAGAAGCGACAUUGAGAAGAAAAUGGGUAGAAUGGUGUACCUGCUGAUGUGUUCUUUAUACUCCUAUAUGCGACUUGUUGGUUCAGAAUCCGUUAUGUGAUUACUACAUUAUCACAAAAUGUUAGAUGUGUUUGUUAACCAUGCAAGGUAAGUAAAUACCGCGUAAACAGAUCCCAUGCCUAUUCACCCCCGGCUCUACCCAAAUCCCCACCUUGAGCUCCUUCCUCAUGUGGAUAACCCUUGUCGAGUUCUAUAUAAUUGAUUGGAUAACCCAUGUGGAUUUCCGUAUAACUGCUUUGCUGUAAAAUUUGUCCAAAUCUAACUAAUGCAUGACGGUAAUUUCAAUCUCUUGUGUUCCUAGAUUUUAUUACAAGAUUAAUUACUGGGUCCUAUGAAUUUUUUUAGUAAAAGAUUUGUGAGUAUUUUUCUGCAUCGGGUACUAUGAAUUGAUAAAUGUUGGAAUGUUGACUAGAUUGUCUAUACAUUGGUUGAAACAAACAGGUUUCUUUUUCUUUCCCAUUCUGUUGACGCUAACAACUUGAUCUGAUUACAUUUGCGUUUGCAUUACCAUUCCUCAAACAAACACAUCCCUAAAUGCUUUACUUGGUUUGGUCUUUUGGGGUAUGCCAGAUUUCUUUGUUUCAUUAAAGGAUAUUGGUUAUUAUGUAAAUUUGACCCUUAACAGUUCCUGACGGAAAGUAUAUAUGAACUCCUAAAUGUCUUGAAAUUUUGCAGCUCAUGAAAUGGAUCUCUGUUAUAGUGAAGGAACCAGAGGGAAGGAUGCUACUGUCUUAGCAGUGGUGUUGAUACUUAAGCACUCCACCUAUUCUAAUUUUUUUGUACCUUUUCACAAAUAACUAUCAAACUUAUGUAUUGUCAUGCAACCUAAUCUGUGUUCUCCAUUGCAUCAGCUACAAUUUUUUUUGAGAAAGAGACUAAAAGGCGUAUAGAUGAGUAACAGAUAUGAAAAAUACUUGUAUACAUCAUGUCUUGGAUAAGAAACAGUAUGAAAACUUCAAUGAAAAAUUGUUAGUCAAUAUCAAACAGCCGCAACUAUCCUGAUUUGACGACGCUUAUGCCAAUUCAGUUGUUGUAGCAGAGUAUUGAUCUAAUACUCAUUUGUAUAUAUCUUUUUAAAUCUAAUAAGUGAACGGAUGGUCAUGAAGUGAUGUUUAAUUAUCAAGAUGUGAACUCAAUUCUUCGUCUACUGAAAUGUUCUUUCGACAGGUGAUUAUGUGGAGCUUGUGAAGGAAAAAGGCAAACCAACAAGCUUGGGCAAUCGUCUAUUGGCGACAACCUGGUUCAAUAGUUGACAAAACUGAAUCUCUCUUACCAGCUAUGACUACAUGGUCAAUAUAUAUACAUGUGCAACAUCCAAAAAGAGAGAUGUCAUCAAACUUCUCAUUAACUUUUUCCGGUUCUACUUUCUCCUUUACUGUUGAAAGCAUAUGGAGUGCUAUCAAUCAAUAUGAACAACUUCCUGCCGCCUCUCUUCUGCUGGAUUGCUUUUUUUUCUGAAAAUAUUUGGUAACUCAAUAUUUUUCUCUUAAUUCAUGAGAUUAUAUAGUGCCAAGAUUUUACUGGUUUCAUCUUGCGUGUUUGUGCCAUCAUGAGUUUGUUCUUUCUGCGGGAAAUGGCUAUAUGACUUCAGAUCUUGAUAAUUAAUUUCGGAACUUCGAAAAUUCUGGAGAUGAAGAAUGUGUCAGUAACCUAAAACACAUAUUGAAGUAUCAUUCACCGAGUAGUGCUCAGAUGGUAACUUGGUGAGUUAUACUGCAUAUCAGUGCAAUCACAUUUCUGUACUUUCCCUCCAAUAUGGAGGUACGUACAAGGCUGUAAAUAUUAGUAGCACAUCUUCUCACAUAAGUUACCAAAGUCAUGUCCUUCUAUUUUUACCCUUCUCAUGCUCAUAGAGCUUGGAAAAGGGUUGCUAGCUUUGGUAGCUUGAUUUUGGUCCGGGGGUACAGAUUUACCGUGGGAACGAGGAACAACAAUGCUACGUAAAUUAGAAAACAUGUAUUCUUCUAUGAACUAUAUAAUAAUUCUGAGCCUGUAUGCAUAUCAGUUUUGAGAUUCCAGUUUCUACUAUUGUGGAUGCUACCAGUUACAGUUGACAAGAAUUUAUUAUACCUUUUUAGGAUGUAAAUUCGAAACCCGUAAUUUGCAUUCCUGAUCUUUUUAAUUAUUCUUGUUGUGAUGAACAUUUUAAGGGUGUCAGUGUUGAUAUGUGCCAUAAAACUCGCAGGUUUCUUUUAAGCUCUUUCAUUAAUGAUGUUUGCUCCUCCUUUGUACUUCUAAUUAUUAUGGCAGGAAGUCUCACUACUACACAAUUCAUGCCUCUGCCAAAUAUUCUAAUCAUUUGUAUUUUUGAAGUUGUAGAUGAUUAGAUUUUCAGCUAAUUUUCUGUUGUAGCAUACACAUUGUGGCAAGCUAACACUGAAAAAGUAGAAAUUGGACGCCUCAAGUUCCUGAAGUUUUCAUGGCAAAAAAGAGAAAAUACUAGACUUAAUGAGCGCGGACAAUGGAAUUCUUGAUUUUUAUGCGUGCCAUUCAAAAGAUGUGACAUAUUUGUAAGCCUUGGAGCUUGUACAUUGGCAUGAGACCACAUUCAAGACCAGAGUUAGUUUUUUUAGGGAACGAUCAGAGAGUUAGUGAGGAUGAGGGAACCUGCUUUUGUUAGAGUUGUUCAUGGAUGAUGGGAGAUGCGGUUUUGGGCCUCCCAUAUGUUUGUUUGCGCCUGAAUAUGAGUGUACUUCCUUCAAGACGUAAUACAAAAAUACUUGUUUUUGCAACGUAAUGUGGAUAUACAUGAUUCUAUUGGGGUGUGCAUACUUAAGGAUAUCAUGAAUGGAAUAUUGUACUUUUUUGCGAUGAAAUGAAACAUUGUACUUGUAUAAUCAAUUUUGUCCACAUGAAUAUAAUUUUAUCUGAUGCUUCAGAUGAUUACAGCUCA